rnacentral:rRNA from 1 species
CCUACGGGCGGCAGCAGUGAGGAAUAUUGGUCAAUGGGCGAGAGCCUGAACCAGCCAAGUAGCGUGAAGGAUGACUGCCCUACGGGUUGUAAACUUCUUUUAUAAAGGAAUAAAGUGAGGCACGUGUGCCUUUUUGUAGGUACUUUAUGAAAAAGGAUCGGCUAACUCCGGGCCAGCAGCCGCGGUAAAACGGAGGAUCCGAGCGUUAUCAGGAUUUAAUGGGUUUAAAGGGAGCGGAGAUGGGUUGUUAAGUCAGUUGUGAAAGUUUGCGGCUCAACCGUCAAAUUGCAAUUGAUACUGGCAGUCUUGAGUACAGUUGAGGUAGGCGGAAUUCGUGGUGUAGCGGUGAAAUGCUUAGAUAUCACGCAGAACUCCGAUUGCGAAGGCAGCUUACUAACCUGCCACUGACAUUGAUGCUCGAAAGUGUGGGUAUCAAACAGGAUUAGAUACCCUAGUAGUC